rnacentral:rRNA from 1 species
GACCAGCGGAGGGAUCAUUACCGAGUUUACAACUCCCAAACCCAAUGUGAACGUUACCAAACUGUUGCCUCGGCGGGAUCUCUGCCCCGGGUGCGUCGCAGCCCCGGACCAAGGCGCCCGCCGGAGGACCAACCAAAACUCUUAUUGUAUACCCCCUCGCGGGUUUUUUACUAUCUGAGCCAUCUCGGCGCCCCUCGUGGGCGUUUCGAAAAUGAAUCAAAACUUUCAACAACGGAUCUCUUGGUUCUGGCAUCGAUGAAGAACGCAGCGAAAUGCGAUAAGUAAUGUGAAUUGCAGAAUUCAGUGAAUCAUCGAAUCUUUGAACGCACAUUGCGCCCGCCAGUAUUCUGGCGGGCAUGCCUGUCCGAGCGUCAUUUCAACCCUCGAACCCCUCCGGGGGGUCGGCGUUGGGGAUCGGCCCUUUACGGGGCCGGCCCCGAAAUACAGUGGCGGUCUCGCCGCAGCCUCUCCUGCGCAGUAGUUUGCACACUCGCAUCGGGAGCGCGGCGCGUCCACAGCCGUUAAACACCCCAAACUUCUGAAAUGUUGACCUCGGAUCAGGUAGGAAUACCCGCUGAACUUAAGCAUAUCAAUAAGCGGA